rnacentral:tRNA from 1 species
AGACAAGAAGCGAGUAUUCGCUUACGGUUUCGGCCCGUAGAAUGGUAGUGCAAACCUGCCCUUGUUUA